rnacentral:rRNA from 1 species
CCUACGGGAGGCAGCAGUGAGGAAUUUUCGUCAAUGGGCGCAAGCCUGAACGAGCAACGCCGCGUGCAGGAAGACGGUCUUCGGAUCGUAAACUGCUUUUCUCUGGGACGAGCAAGGACGGUACCAGAGGAAGAAGCCCCGGCUAACUACGUGCCAGCAGCCGCGGUAAU